GCACUUCUUAUGAGAAUCAUAUGCCUCGUGAUCUGAGGUGGAGCUGAGGCUGUGAUGCUAGCACUGGGGAGGGGCUGCAAACACAGAUUAUUGUUAGCAAAGACGUCUGACUGUGCAGAGACCAUAAUAAAUUUUCUGCUUGCAGACUUGUAUCAGACAAACUCAGGACCCCCACUGAUUCUGCAUUAUGGUCACACGGAAAGCUACUUUCGUAAUCCAGGUGUUCACUCCCCAGCAUGAAGGAGCUGACCAACUGACUGACUGUCAUGAGCCCAACCCAGCAGCUGUUGGGCCUCCACUUUUGUCUACUUUGCUAGUUCUUACAUGGCAUAAUUGGACUCACAUUGGGUCAGGAGACAUCAUCUAUGCAACCAAAAGACUGAUGGUAUCUUUCCCAUCUGAAAAGUCACAUCAGCAGUAACAGCAGACUGGAGGGCGGCACAUCAACAGUUAGAUGUUUCCACAUUAAACAUUAAAUGUGGCACAUCUGAGCAAGUCAACUCAGCAGGCCUCAUUUCAAGGAUAAAGUCUAAUCUCUCAGAGCAGAACUAAGGAUCAAGAAUUAGAAGUAAGAUCUUCUACAAUCAAAAUCAUUAACUGAUUUUUGCUUAAGUCCUAAAGAGAGGUGUGGGGGUACACUAUUGUUCAUUUUGCUAUCUUCAGUAAAAAAUAAAAAAUAUCGAAUUAAUGUAGUUGAGUAUUAUUAAACUGUACAAAGUUAUGUUUUACUGUCAGUAUUAAACUAAAGCAUGCGCUAUCUUGGAACAGAAAUGAGUCAUUUUUAUGUCUUCCUCAAGCAAGUUUACCAUAACUUUACUUAAGCUUUUUAGAACUGUUUUGAGUAUAUUUCUAUAAAUGUCAGUUACCAAAAAUGAGUUUCAAUGUAAGUGGUUUUAGCUUGUGUACAGCAAUUCUGGCCUCAACACCAAAGAAUAAAAAGGGCAGAAAGAACUCUGAUGUUUCUGGAAAUCAUGGACUUUUUUCCUGGG
rnacentral:lncRNA from 1 species